UACGGGGGGAGCAAGCGUUGUUCGGAUUUACUGGGCGUAAAGGGCGCGUAGGCGGUCACGACAAGUCAGUUGUGAAAUCUCCGGGCUUAACUCGGAACGGUCAACUGAUACUGUCGGACUAGAGUGCAGAAGGGGCAACUGGAAUUCUCGGUGUAGCGGUGAAAUGCGUAGAUAUCGAGAGGAACACCUGCGGCGAAGGCGGGUUGCUGGGCUGACACUGACGCUCAUGCACGAAAGCGUGGGGAGCAAACAGG
rnacentral:rRNA from 1 species